UCUUUGGCCAGUGACUAUUAACGGAAGUUCUAGUGUAAGUUCAGAGCAGAAGCUCCAAGAACCAGCUGAUGGUUACCACGUUCUUUGUCUCUAUGCUGUAACAACUGUCAAAGUUCUAGCUUGCGACUCCACCAUUCGUAGGAAUUCUGAAGCAGGACUGCAGCUGACCCACAGUGGGCAUGUAGAGAGAAAGAAACUGUGUAAGCCACUUAACACAAUCUGGAAUAAACUGGCUGGCACAAGGCUCUUCAGAUAUUGGAUCCUUGAACAACGACAAGCACCUGUGAGUUCCCCAGCAAGUAUAGCAAUAAACCUGAAUGUGGAAACCUUAACCAUUGAGCUAGUUAUGCUUUAUGAAGAACAACACCAUUUAGCAAGAGAGGAAGCUGUUCCAGACGGUGAUCCACCACUGAGAAGGUGGCAUGCAAACCUCAAUCCUGCCUGCAUUUUCUUUGACAGCUACCCCCCAGCCCCCUCCCCCUCCCCACUGCCUCGGGGAACUGAGCACCUAGGGCACCAGCCCACUCCACGGGUCCCAAAUCAGCUAGAUGGUGACGGAAAUGGAAGGAAUGGAACACGUUGGAAAGGAUUUGGCUGCAAAUGGGAAAGGUGGGUGAGGAGGAAGGGAGGAAUUAAAAAAUGACCCUGGGGAUGAGGUGGAGAAGACAAUGGGGCAGGUAGGUAAGGGUUAGGUCUUGAAGGUGAGAUUCCGGGAAAUAGGAAAUGAGUAAUGAACUUAGCCUUCUCAAGAAUCUUGGGCAUUCUAACUCCUGAGCCGGAAAGCUCCAGAGCACGGAUUCUGUUUGGUCUAAAAACUCCAAGAUGCUGUUUCCUCCAUUCUAGUACGUUUCACAUAGCUACUGGUCUAGUUUUUCUUGGCAUAACUCUAGUGGUAUAAAAAUAGGCCACCAUCUGCAAUAUAUACCUAUGUUUGUGUCCGCCCGAUGAACAAAGGAAGCAAACUCAAACAGUAAUGUUCAUAAGCAAUAAAUCAUAAACUUAGUUCACAAUCUAGACAGCUGGAAUGAACACACAGGCAACACUGAAGGAGUAACAAUAACAAAUAUCCGAUAUUUUUUCUUUAUUCAUUACCUUCUUCGAGAAUUUUAUAUUUUGUUCUAUGUGUAUUCCAUUUGUUUUAUCUUAACUUUUUUAAAAGCCACCUUCAAAUAUUAAGAGAAGCCCUUGUGAAAUAAAAUACAUGUAACGUAACUUCGUUCACCAAUGAAAUAAUAUCAAAUUGUGAUUUUUAGCAAAUGGUUUUUAGGUAGCUAAGCUGUCAACCAGCAAAACCAGGCAAGACUUCAGACAAGAAGAAAAGAUUUUGCAGGAGAACAAGGAAUGUUCUGAAUGUUUUAAGAAUCAGAACAAGGAGGGUGAAAGUAAGAAUUCAGUUAGUUUUGGAAUCCAUAAACAAAAGCAUUUUAAAAUUAUGUAAUUGUGGAGAAUGCAACAGACUAUUGACAACUUUGGGAAAAUGUGGAACUAUUAGUACUGAAACACUUUUUUACCAAAUACGGUAAAGUUGGGACUUCCAGAAAGUCUACUGGUUUCUGUAAGGUAUUAUUACCUGGGUCUAUAAUACCCAUGAAUUUAUAACUAGAAAGGCUUCUCAUACCAAAACCAAGAGCUAAGCAUAUGUUAAAAUGAGUGAAAACCUUGCUUCAGCAAUGCAAUGAUACGUGGCUUUUAAAGUAUGACAUGCAGAUUAAUGUGCAACAUUUCAAUGAAUUUUAAUGCUGUUGUAGCUGCUCACCUUUUGCAUGAUUCCUUUCUCGUAAUAAUAGCGAAGCGAACGGCUAAGUUUAUCAUAGUUCAUAGCUGGCCUGUUUUUCUGAAUGCCCCAACGCCGGGCCACCUGCCACCAAUACAGAACGACAUUGUAGUGUUAAGUAUUACCUUAUCAAGAUAUUUCAUAAAACAUUAGUGAAUUAAUCCAUUACUUCCAAAUCUUCCAAACACAUCCAAAUUAAAGACAGAAGUAAAGACGCAAAAGCUAUCAUGGUCUGAAUUUUCCUGUGUCCUGGUUUGCUUUUAAACUGGGCGUGCAGUGAUCAUUCUGAAACUUCACAAUAGAAUUCUUUGUCACUAUUGUUUUGGAUACAAAAUUAAAUGGAAAUAAGGGGAUGUGUUUACAAUGGGAAUGAACAGGCUGCAAUUCACUAAAAUGAGGCAAGUUUCCCAUUCUGAGAUAUACUGCCUCUUUUCUCCUUCUUAGUUUUUCUGAUAAAACCUAUAGACCAAGAACAGCUUAGCAAUCUCUUUGUAAAGAUGUUUUCUGAGAUUAUGAUAAACUAGAGAAAAAAAUAUCCUGUUUGAGACCAAAGAAUGAACAAGUGGCACUGUAUGUGUACCAGAGGAAACAGUAUACAAAUUCAUAAUCUGAACUGCAAAUAAUUUUUAUUGCCCGAAGCAGCAUCAGAAUAAAACUGUAACCAAUACUGAACUGGGGAAUUAAGCAUUCAUUUAGAGAACAGUAAUUGGAUACUAAAAAUAAGAAGGAAGUGGAAAAGGUCACCAAGAACACGAGUCCACAAACAAAAAUCUCUAAAGCAGAAUGUCCACUUUGUGGUUUGAUGAAAAAUCUCAGAGCUUCUGGGGAGGUGGGUUUGGAGGAGCAACUUAGCUGGCACAGCGGCAUUUUUCAAGGAAACCUCCCUCCUUGAUGAUACGUGCCCCCUCCCCCAAGCCGGGGCUGGCUGAAGCCUCACACUGAACCCAGUAGCCUGCUUUCGCCACCCCAGCUAAAUUCAGGUUCUCAGGAAUUUCCAUAUUUUAUUCGUCUGAGCAGAAAUUGCAGCUGUCAUGCAUACCUAGGCAACCCCAAGAAAAACAUGAUCUAAUAGGGUUAGUGUUUCUCCUUCAUUUCUCUGAAAUUCCAGGUUGUUGCUGUCUCACAUAGCCUAAAAUAGAUUGCUUUCAGAGAGAGCGUUCUGUCCCUCUCCACUUUAUUAACAAUUACCUUUCCCUGGGGUUUGUUUUUUUUUUCUGUCAAAAAUACUGAUCCUUGCUCUUUUCUUCCUCCCUAAUUUGUAUUUGCUGAAUGAGGAUACAGUGUAAUUUAGCCCCCAUGCAUCAGUACAGCAGAGAUGUGACGUAACAGGAACAUGACUACGCAUCCUGUCACCGCAGCAGGCAGCUCUGAAUUUUCCAGAGAUAAAAUUCAUUUUAAUGUCUUCCACAGAAAAGGAAUCUAAAUGUUUGUCAUUCUGAAUGACAUACGGCAUGUCAUUUCAAGAUAUAAUGGCAUGUCUUUCCAGUGUUUAAAAAUCACAGAAAUUCAGAAUCUGAUGAAGUUAAUGGACAUCCGUUCAAGUCUUCUUUUCUACUUAUUCAACCUGAUCAUCAUGAAAGUCAACAAUUGCUAAGUAAAGAAGUUAAUUACGUUCAUAAGGAUUUUAUUCUUCUGAGAUCAAUAAUGACCAACAUAAUUCCAUACU